GAUGAACGCUGGCGGCGUGCUUAAUACAUGCAAGUCGAGCGAACAGACCAGGAUCUUGCUCGUCUCACGUUAGCGGCGGACGGGUGUGUCACACGUGUAUCACCUACCUAUCUGUCUGGUAUAACUUCGGAACUCCGGCUCUAACCCCGGAUAAUCUAUUGAACCGCGUGGUUCAAUAGUGAAAGACGGCUUUGCUGUCACUUCUAGCUGGAUCCGCGCCGCAUUAUGUAGUUGGUAAGGUAACGGCUUACCAAGGCAACGAUGCGUAGCCGACCGGAGAGGCUGAUAGGCGGCACGGGAGCUGAGACGCGGACCAUGCUCCUACGGGACGGAGCAGAAGGGAAUCUGCCGCAGUGGGCGGAAACCUGACGGAGCAACGGCGCGUGAGUGAUGAAGGUCUUGCGAUCGUAAAACCCGGUUAUGAGUGAAAAACAGAUUUGUAAGGAACCAUGCACGGCUUGACGGUAAUUAGUCAGAAAGCAACGGCUAACUACGUG
rnacentral:rRNA from 1 species